UACAGAGGUCCCAAGCGUUGUUCGGAUUCACUGGGCGUAAAGGGUGCGUAGGUGGCCAGGUAAGUUCGGUGUGAAAGCUCGGAGCUUAACUCCGAAAUGUCAUUGAAUACUAUCUGGCUGGAGGGUCGGAGGGGAGACUGGAAUUCUCGGUGUAGCAGUGAAAUGCGUAGAUAUCAGGAGGAACACCGGUGGCGAAGGCGGGUCUCUGGGCCGAUACUGACGCUGAGGAGCGAAAGCGUGGGGAGCGAACAGG
rnacentral:rRNA from 1 species